UCGGUUCGGCCGGGUUUCACACAGGUGUUGCAUGGCUGUCGUCAGCUCGUGUCGUGAGAUGUUGGGUUAAGUCCCGCAACGAGCGCAACCCUCAUCCUUAGUUACCAUCAGGUAAUGCUGGGGACUUUAAGGAAACUGCCAGUGAUAAACUGGAGGAAGGUGGGGAUGAUGUCAAGUCAUCAUGGCCCUUAUGGAGUGGGCUACACACGUGCUACAAUGGUGGCUACAAUGGGCUGCAAAGUCGCGAGGCUAAGCUAAUCCCUUAAAAGCCAUCUCAGUUCGGAUUGUACUCUGCAACUCGAGUGCAUGAAGUUGGAAUCGCUAGUAAUCGUGGAUCAGCACGCCACGGUGAAUACGUUCUCGGGUCUUGUACACACUGCCCGUCACGNCAUG
rnacentral:rRNA from 1 species